rnacentral:rRNA from 1 species
ACUCCUACGGGAGGCAGCAGUGGGGAAUUUUGCGCAAUGGGCGAAAGCCUGACGCAGCAACGCCGCGUGAGUGAUGAAGGCUUUCGGGUCGUAAAGCUCUGUCGAGGGGAAAGAAGUGUAGAGUGGCUAAUAUCCAUUUUACUUGACGGUACCCCUAAAGGAAGCACCGGCUAACUCCGUGCCAGCAGCCGCGGUAAUACGGGGGGUGCAAGCGUUGUUCGGAAUUAUUGGGCGUAAAGAGCGUGUAGGCGGUUUGUUAAGUCUGAUGUGAAAGCCCUGGGCUCAACCCAGGAAGUGCAUUGGAUACUGGCAGACUUGAAUACGGGAGAGGGUAGUGGAAUUCCUGGUGUAGGAGUGAAAUCCGUAGAUAUCAGGAGGAACACCGGUGGCGAAGGCGGCUACCUGGACCGAUAUUGACGCUGAGACGCGAAAGCGUGGGUAGCAAACAGGAUUAGAUACCCUGGUAGUCCACGCCGUAAACGAUGAGAACUAGGUGUUGCGGGUAUUGACCCCUGCAGUGCCGCAGCUAACGCAUUAAGUUCUCCGCCUGGGAAGUACGGUCGCAAGACUAAAACUCAAAGGAAUUGACG